rnacentral:lncRNA from 1 species
GAAUAUGAAUAUAUCCUUCUGGAUGCAAGAAACGUAUUCAGGUGUUUCCGACCUGGAGGCUCUGUCCAGAACCAACUUAAUAGGAAAAAUUGAGAGUACUGCUUGCUUUCGUUGUGUGGCCACACGGCACCUGUUCUCUGGGCCAGAGUCUUCAUUACCACUGUUCUUCACUAUCUACUCAAAGCUAUGUACAGGCCAGAUGGGGACUGUGAACAAUGAAUAGCCAAAAGAAGAGGAAAAGAAUCAUUUCUAAAAGUACAUCUGCUUCUGGGAUCAUAUGCUGCGUGGGCUGCGUUGCAGGCGUCCAGCGUGGAUUUGAGCCAGGCAGAAUUCACCAGCCAGCCGGGUGGCAGACUCCCUCGUUGGUCUGCAGGAGCAGUCAGUCCAUCACCAAGUGGACUUGCCACAGCUGGAGUUUGUGGUGCUUAUAACACGGGUGGCCAACACUCCCUUGGCACAGCUCCCCCAGGAUGGGACCAGAUCAAAGGUAAUGACAUUAUCCAAGGUUGUACAAAGUGUUAAUUAUAACCACGGGAAUAAAUGAAGUCCCAUGAAUGUGUCAUCAGAGACAUUGGCAAUGAUUGGGUACAGGGGACAACUACUAUUAAUGAAAUCAAAGGAAGACGUGAGAGAACACUGUCACGAAGAAUGGCUUGG